AGGUCAAUGAUGAGAACUCAUAUGGUCUCAAAGAGAGAUGAAAGCCUAAAAAUCAUUCUCAAUAGGAUUACACUGAGUCU
ensembl:snoRNA SNORD115 Small nucleolar RNA SNORD115